GGAAAGGCGCGCGAUACAGGGUGACAGCCCCGUACACAAAAAUGCACAUGCUGUGAGCUCGAUGAGUAGGGCGGGACACGUGGUAUCCUGUCUGAAUAUGGGGGGACCAUCCUCCAAGGCUAAAUACUCCUGACUGACCGAUAGUGAACCAGUACCGUGAGGGAAAGGCGAAAAGAACCCCGGCGAGGGGAGUGAAAAAGAACCUGAAACCGUGUACGUACAAGCAGUGGGAGCACGCUUAGGCGUGUGACUGCGUACCUUUUGUAUAAUGGGUCAGCGACUUAUAUUCUGUAGCAAGGUUAACCGAAUAGGGGAGCCGAAGGGAAACCGAGUCUUAACUGGGCGUUAAGUUGCAGGGUAUAGACCCGAAACCCGGUGAUCUAGCCAUGGGCAGGUUGAAGGUUGGGUAACACUAACUGGAGGACCGAACCGACUAAUGUUGAAAAAUUAGCGGAUGACUUGUGGCUGGGGGUGAAAGGCCAAUCAAACCGGGAGAUAGCUGGUUCUCCCCGAAAGCUAUUUAGGUAGCGCCUCGUGAAUUCAUCUCCGGGGGUAGAGCACUGUUUCGGCAAGGGGGUCAUCCCGACUUACCAACCCGAUGCAAACUGCGAAUACCGGAGAAUGUUAUCACGGGAGACACACGGCGGGUGCUAACGUCCGUCGUGAAGAGGGAAACAACCCAGACCGCCAGCUAAGGUCCCAAAGUCAUGGUUAAGUGGGAAACGAUGUGGGAAGGCCCAGACAGCCAGGAUGUUGG
rnacentral:rRNA from 1 species